UACGGGGGGGGCAAGCGUUGUUCGGAAUUACUGGGCGUAAAGGGCUCGUAGGUGGCCAACUAAGUCAGACGUGAAAUCCCUCGGCUUAACCGGGGAACUGCGUCUGAUACUGGAUGGCUAGAGUUUGGGAGAGGGAUGCGGAAUUCCAGGUGUAGCGGUGAAAUGCGUAGAUAUCUGGAGGAACACCGGUGGCGAAGGCGGCCCACUGGCUCGAUACUGACGCUGAGGUGCGAAAGCGUGGGGAGCAAACAGG
rnacentral:rRNA from 1 species